AUUGAACGCUGGCGGCAUGCCUUACACAUGCAAGUCGAACGGCAGCACGGGUGCCUGCACCUGGUGGCGAGUGGCGAACGGGUGAGUAAUACAUCGGAACAUGUCCUGCAGUGGGGGAGAGCCCGGCGAAAGCCGGAUUAAUACCGCAUACGAACUACGGGUGAAAGCGGGGGACCUUCGGCACGCGCGCUUUCGGGUUGGCCGAUGGCUGAUUAGCUAGUUGGUGGGGUAAAGGCCUACCAAGGCGACGAUCAGUAGCUGGUCUGAGAGGACGACCAGCCACACUGGGACUGAGACACGGCCCAGACUCCUACGGGAGGCAGCAGUGGGGAAUUUUGGACAAUGGGCGAAAGCCUGAUCCAGCAAUGCCGCGUGUGUGAAGAAGGCCUUCGGGUUGUAAAGCACUUUUGUCCGGAAAGAAAUCCUUGGGCCUAAUACGGUCGGGGGAUGACGGUACCGGAAGAAUAAGCACCGGCUAACUACGUG
rnacentral:rRNA from 1 species